GACGAACGCUGGCGGCGUGCUUAACACAUGCAAGUGGAGCGACGAACCGGGGCUUGCCCCGGGGCAAAGCCGCGAACGGGUGAGUAACACGUGGGUAACCCACCUCGAUGACCGGGACAACCCGAGGAAACUCGGGCUAAUACCGGAUGUGCUCUUCUCCCAUAAGGGAUUUGAGGAAAGAUAGCUUCGGCCUUCGCAUCGAGACGGGCCCGCGGCCCAUUAGCUUGUUGGUGGGGUAAAGGCCUACCAAGGCUCGAUGGGUAGCUGGUCUGAGAGGACGAUCAGCCACACUGGGACUGAGACACGGCCCAGACUCCUACGGGAGGCAGCAGNGGGGAAUCUUGCACAAUGCGCGAAAGCGUGAUGCAGCAACGCCGCGUGGGGAAGACGGCUUUCGGGUUGU
rnacentral:rRNA from 1 species